AUUCUCCCUCCUGCAUUGCCGAUGUAUCGGCAGCAGCCCGCAGCCAGGGUGUCAAGGCUGCCGCGGGUUCCACCCGCGCCACCCGCCAGUUCGCCUCGGCAUCUCACCGGCGAACGCUGCCCACCGGGGCAUCGAUGC
rfam:Nitrosovibrio sp. Nv17 genome assembly, contig: Ga0111729_121